rfam:Danio rerio chromosome 7, GRCz11 reference primary assembly.
GCUUUGGUCAUUUGUAAGUCACUUUGGAUAAAAGCGUCUGCUAAAUGACUAAAU